rnacentral:rRNA from 1 species
GCUCCUUGGUGAUUCAUAAUAACUAAACGAAUCGCAUGGCCUUGCGCCGGCGAUGGUUCAUUCAAAUUUCUGCCCUAUCAACUUUCGAUGGUAGGAUAGUGGCCUACCAUGGUCUCAACGGGUAACGGGGAAUUAGGGUUCUAUUCCGGAGAGGGAGCCUGAGAAACGGCUACCACAUCCAAGGAAGGCAGCAGGCGCGCAAAUUACCCAAUCCCAAUUCGGGGAGGUAGUGACAAUAAAUACUGAUACAGGGCUCUUUUGGGUCUUGUAAUUGGAAUGAGUACGAUCUAAAUCCCUUAACGAGGAACAAUUGGAGGGCAAGUCUGGUGCCAGCAGCCGCGGUAAUUCCAGCUCCAAUAGCGUAUAUUAAAGUUGUUGCCGUUAAAAAGCUCGUAGUUGAACCUUGGGCCUGGCUGAUCUGUCCUCCUAAUCGAGCGCACGGAUUCGGUCGGGCCUUUCCUUCUGGGGAGCCCGAUGUCCUUCACUGGGCGUCGCGGGGAACCAGGACUUUUACCUUGAAAAAAUUAGAGUGUUCAAAGCAGGCCUUUGCUCGAAUACAUUAGCAUGGAAUAAUAGAAUAGGACAGAGGUUCUAUUUUGUUGGUUUCUAGGACCGCUGUAAUGAUUAAUAGGGAUAGUCGGGGGCGUCCGUAUUCAAUUGUCAGAGGUGAAAUUCUUGGAUUUAUUGAAGACGAACUACUGCGAAAGCAUUCGCCAAGGAUGUUUUCAUUAAUCAGUGAACGAAAGUUAGGGGAUCGAAGACGAUCAGAUACCGUCGUAGUCUUAACCAUAAACUAUGCCGACUAGGGAUCGGACGGUGGUUUUUUUAUGCCCCGUUCGGCACCUUACGAGAAAUCAAAGUUUUUGGGCUCGGGGGGGAGUAUGGUCGCAAGGCUG